AAUGGACCAUAGAGCGAGAGUACUAUAGACCGGCGAUAGUCCGCGAGUAUGACGUGCAACAUGUGCAUAGUCUAUCGGCUAUCCAACGGUUCUAGAAGAUGGUUAGUAUCUUAAGACCGUCGUCCAUCCUCCGUAUACUAUCUACGAACCGGGGCGAGAGCGAUAAGCGAACUGAUAAGAUGGUAAUUUGUAACUCGGUGUCAUCGUUUCUCCGUCGGCGCUCCGUUUAAAAUAAGAAAGCCAUUUCUAGAAUUAAAUUAAUCGAAUCGAAUUGUAGAAGAGCAACGCUUACAGCUACGGAUGGCAUUGCCUAGGGUGUUAUUGGUGAUUCCGCUGUUUGCCGUUUCAAUUUUUGGGUUGUACAUUCUCAUCCAAAAUGCUCCAACCACCGAUAACCAAUGCCACAUCAAAAUGGCAGUUCCCAAGAGCAUGGCUGAAUUAAGGGAACUCAACUUGUGUCUUAAAAAACAUUAUGAUAACAACUUCCUAUAUAUGCUUACAUUGUUCAGUACUGUUUACAUUAUCAAACAAGCCUUUUGCAUACCAGGCUCUGUUAUACUGAAUUUGAUUGCGGGUUCGUUGUUUGGCUCUGGUCUUGGGCUCCUGUUGGUAUGUACGCUGUCCAGUAUAGGUGUCUCGAUGUGUUACCUCUUGUCUAAAAUAUGCGGAGUCGAGACGUUUCUAAUGAAUUAUUUCCCAGGAGCGUUAAGCUCGUCAAAAAAUACUGUGGGAAAUUUGGUUCAAAACAAUAAACAUCAACUUUGGUACUUGCUACUAAUCUUGCGCAUCAUUCCAAUCACUCCAAACUGGCUGUUGAACCUGCUUGCACCAGUUUUUGGCAUUCCUCUAUGGACAUUUACGUAUACUACAUUUCUUGGGCUGAUGCCAUACAAUUACAUAUGUUGUCAGAGUGGUGAGACUUUGUCAAGUAUCAAUUCGUUGGAAGAAAUAUUUACUUUAAAAACUACACUUCAGUUAACAUCCAUAGCCGUGGUUAUGGUGGUCGUAAAAAUUGCUUCGAAGUGUUUAAAAACUGUAUGUGUGUACCUACCCAGUUAUUGGUGGCUAAAUGAUGACCAAUUUUGUUAUAAGGUAACCUCAAUUCUGCAAGACACAUUGUCAAAGUUCAUCAAAAGUUAGAAUGCACAAUGUUUGACUGAAAAAUAUGUCCAAAUUGUACUGAAAAACUUUUUGGAUAAAUAUUUGGUUGAUAAAUUCAGUCAAUUCAGAAUUGAAAAAAAAACACACAUGACAAAUUGGAAAAAGGACAGUUGCAAAUCUUUUAUCUAUGUGACAGCGGAAGAGACUGAAAUAGAAAAAAGAAGAAAAUUUCACUUUAGAACUUUGGUAUAGAAUCCUUGAUUCAAUUAUAAAAAUUAAAAAAAAAUUAAUUUUGGAAAAUUGGCCCGUACAAAAUCAAGGACUGUUAUUGAAUAACAAUGUUUCUAUUUUCAUCCGUUUGACGCAUGCGGGAUUAUUCCUUACCAACUUGUCCGCAAGCUUGUGAAAUAUCAAGACCAGUAUUUCAUCAAAAUGUAGCUGAGUACAAUAGGUACCCUAACCAAUAAAUAAUAAUUAUCAAAAAAAUUAUAAUUAACAUAGAACAUAAUACAAUUUUGCUAUUUCUGAAUAUAAUGGUUUAUAAGGUUAUGUAUAAUUAUAGAAUAAGAUUCACUAUGUUGAUAUACAGGGUGAUUCUUUU
rnacentral:misc_RNA from 1 species